CUGCUCGUAGCGAUGGCUGCCUUGCUUUGAAGAGCUGCAGCUUUCUGCGGAGGUGUGCCAUCGCCUCCACAGCUGGCAUCUACAGGGUGUGAGGAAAGAGACAUGAGCUGGAGUUUGCCUUAGGAGGACCGGCUGACGCAGACGGCUGCAGACUGACUCAGUGAUAAAUCCUUGUUUUCAGCACGCAUGAAUGCACAAAUUCACAAUCAACAUCCUGUGAUCAACAGCAAGGCGCCGAGAUGACCAGCUCGCUGAGGGUGACUUAUAGGACAAACAGAAAAUGACUUAACCCUGGAGAACCCAAUAACAAUUUUCUUUUUGCCUUUAAAAUUAAUUUGACAGGUUUUGUUCGUUCACUUUGGAAAUGGAAAAAAAGAUACAUAAAAAAAAUAUUUUGAAAAAUUAACAAUAAAAAAUGGACACAG